AUCUCCUCAAAAUGAUGAGUCCUGUAGAGUCCAUGUUUCUGUUAUUGCUUUGGAUUCUGGGAAUCAAUGGGGAUGUUGUGAUGACCCAGACUCCACACAUUUUAUCGGUUACCAUUGGACAACCAGCCUCCAUAUCUUGCAGGUCAAGUCAGAGUCUCUUGGAUAGUAAUGGAUACACCUAUUUGAGUUGGUUUUUACAGAGGCCAGGCCAGUCUCCACAGCUUCUAAUUUAUUCUGUUUCUGAACUGGAAUCUGGGGUUCCUGACAGGUUCAGUGGCAGUGGGUCAGGAACAGAUUUCACACUCAAACUAAGCAGAGUGGAGGCUGAGGAUUUGGGAGUUUAUUACUGUAUGCAAGCUACCCAUGAUCCUCUCACAGUGAUACAGAUCCUAACAAAAAAUGCUCUUGCUUGAUGUAGCCCAGCUGCUAAUGUGCUGCUAGUCUGGAGAGGAGCAGAGCACUCUGUGUCUGUGUGAGGGAAAGAGCAUGGGCAUCAUCAGUAAUUGCAACUGAGAGCUCUGGCUAUACUCACCUCACUGGAUGAGUAGUAUGGCUAAACUUUAAGUACCAUCAGUUACUGAUCCUUCUAGCUGUAACAGUUAUGGUAUUGGCUCUGCCUCAGGAGAAAUUCAUCUCAUUAACUAGUUUAUUGUUUGUGCUCUACUCCUAGCCUUGAGCAGGCCUGAAAGAACUUGUUUACCACAAUAGACCAAAUAAUAGGACCUAGGUGGAGUUGCUCACCUUGGUUGCACAUACAACCAGCUACAGGAACUUAGAAGAAUAGACUGCCCACUGAGCUUAAGUCCUUGGUGCGAAUUUGUCCACAUGUGUCAUUGUCUGUCUUUGUUUCAUUAGAAUAAAUGACUGUUCUAUAUUCCAUGUUCAGAAAGAUAAAAAGGGUUAAAAUUUCUGGCUUGAUUUAGCUUAAAACUUGUUUAAAAGGCAACCUCAAUUCUCACAACAAAAGCUGAUAGGCAAGACCCCUGUUCUGCUGCUGGAAGUGAGGCACAGUGGGAGGAGCCCUGGCAAAAAUGAUUCUUUGCACAAGCUGCUCUUUGAGAGUCCAAGAACUUUUUGGAUUUCCUGGUAAAGUAAGACAUUCACAACAGACAGGAGUUAUAUAAUGAGUUAUGGGCCAGGAGCUAUAUAAUGAUUAUGCUGGAGAAAUUAGAAUUACAGCCUGACUU